rnacentral:rRNA from 1 species
UACGAAGGGGGCUAGCGUUGCUCGGAAUCACUGGGCGUAAAGCGCACGUAGGCGGCUUGUCGCGUCGACUGUGAAAACCCGUGGCUCAACCAUGUGGUCUGCAGUCGAUACGGGCAGGCUAGAAUUCGGUAGGGGAGACUGGAAUUCCUGGUGUAGCGGUGAAAUGCGCAGAUAUCGGGAGGAACACCGGUGGCGAAGGCGGUUCUCUGGGCCUUGACCUGACGCUGAGGAGCGAAAGCGUGGGGAGCGAACAGG